ACACAAUAUGUGUGGAAGUGUUUAGCUUAAGAUUUUCGAUUCGUCUGUGUUGGUCACGAGUGGCUCUCCUCGUUUCAGGUCCAUUGUGGAACUCCGAGUGGAUCCUCAUACCAUCUCUUUGGUUAUAGAUAGCCAAGCUUUUGUUGCGACAGAUCUAAAACUAAAUCUCUCUUCACAAUAUCUCCUGAAAGUGAUAGACCCUUUCCAGUCAUUUGGCUGUUAAGUAUAAAGGAGUUUUCUGAUGGUUUGCGUUAUCUUCCUUCUUGUACCAAAUGCAAAUACCCUUCACAUCAUCGCCCCGCUCUCUGUUCCGAGAUGACAAGAUGGCAACUAAUGAUUGGCCAAUCACUUGAGACUCGAGAGUUGUUAGGGAUCGAACCCUAUUUUAGAGACAUCGAAACCUAGAAGCGGUAUGUGUUUCUAUUUGCAUAUU